AUUGAACGCUGGCGGCAGGCCUAACACAUGCAAGUCGAACGAGUGGCGGACGGGUGAGUAAUGUCUGGGAAACUGCCUGAUGGAGGGGGAUAAGUACUGGAAACGGUAGCUGAUAGCGCAUACCAUCAGAUCUGCCCAGAUGGGAUUAGCUAGUUGGUGGGGUAACGGCUCACCAAGGCGACGAUCCCUAGCUGGUCGGAGAGGAUGACCAGCACCACUGGAACUGAGACACGGUCCAGAUUCCUACGGGAGGCAGCAGUGGGGAAUAUUGGACAAUGGGCGCAAGCCUGAUGCAGCCAUGCCGCUUGUAUGAAGAAGGCCUUCGGGUUGUAAAGUACUUUCAGCGGGGAGGCGUUACCCGCAGAAUAAGCACCGGCUAACUCCGUGCCAGCAGCCGCGGUAAUAC
rnacentral:rRNA from 1 species